rnacentral:rRNA from 1 species
UACGUAGGGGGCAAGCGUUGUCCGGAAUCAUUGGGCGUAAAGCGCGCGUAGGCGGCCCUGUAAGUCCGUUGUGAAAGUCAAAGGCUCAACCUUUGAAAGCCGAUGGAUACUGCAGGGCUAGAGUCCGGAAGAGGCGAGUGGAAUCCCUGGUGUAGCGGUGGAAUGCGCAGAUAUCAGGAGGAACACCAAUAGCGAAGGCAGCUCGCUGGGACGGUACUGACGCUAAGGCGCGAAAGCGUGGGGAGCGAACAGG